rnacentral:rRNA from 1 species
UAAACCCCAACUUCUGAAUGUUGACCUCGGAUCAGGUAGGAAUACCCGCUGAACUUAAGCAUAUCAAUAAGCGGAGGA